rnacentral:rRNA from 1 species
AUGCGGCAGCUCCUGAGCGGGGCCGGGAGGAUGCACGAGCAUGGCAUCGUCCACCGGUACAUCAAGCCCGGGAACAUCCUCAUCGGCGGCGAGGGCAUGGUAAAGAUAUGCGAUCUCGGGCUGGCCAUUUCCAUGGUGAGCGCGGCCAGGCCGGCACGCUCUGGUACAUGGCUCCCGAGAUGCUCCUGGGGAGGCCGGACUACGACGAGCUCGUCUGCUCGUGGACGCUUGGUCGCUCGGCUGCGUCAUGGCGGAGCUAUUCGCCGGCGAGCUAUUGUUGCCUGGCCACAGCGCGACCGACCAGCUCCAAUCUUCCGCGUGCUCGGCGGCACGUGUAUGGCAUCCACUGACGACCCCCAUUCUACCUCAUCGCCUGGAAGUGCAUUUCCAUUCCUCCGAUGUACAAAGAUGAUUUACUUUGUAAUGUAUAUUUACGAAUUUACUGCCAGGGACGAACGCGCCUAG